UGAAGAACGCAGCGAAAUGCGAUACCUAGUGUGAAUUGCAGAAUUCCGCGAAUCAUCGAGUUUUUGAACGCAAGUUGCGCCCGAGGCUCGUACCGAGGGCAUGUCUGUCUGAGCGUCAA
rnacentral:rRNA from 5 species